rnacentral:rRNA from 1 species
GACGAACGCUGGCGGCGUGCUUAACACAUGCAAGUCGAACGAAGUGGCGAACGGGUGAGUAACGCGUAAUCAACCUGCCCUUCAGCGGGGGACAACAGUUGGAAACGACUGCUAAUACCGCAUACUGAAGGAGGGGAUUGCGUCGUAUUAGCUAGUUGGUGGGGGAACGGCCCCACAAGGCGAUGAUCAGUAGCCGGUCUGGGAGGAGGAACGGCUAACUUGGGACUGAGACACGGCCCAGACGCCUACGGGAGGCAGCGGUGGGGAAGCUUCCGCAAUGGACGAAAGUCUGACGGAGCAACGCCGCGUGAGUGAUGACGGCCUUCGGGUUGUAAAGCUCUGUUAAUCGGGACGCGGUACCGGAAUAGAAAGCCACGGCUAACUACGUGCCAGCAGCCGCGGUAAUAC